GACGAACGCUGGCGGCGUGCUUAACACAUGCAAGUCGAACGGUCAGGCCCUGCUUUUGUGGGGUGCUCGUGUGGCGAACGGGUGUGUAACACGUGUGUAAACUGCCCCUGACUUUGGGGUAACUUCAUGGAACUGGGGCUAAUACCGGAUAGGACCUCCUGCUGCAUGUUGGGUUUUGGUGAGUUUCGUCGUUUGGGGAUGGACUUGUGGCUUAUCGGCGUGUUGGCUGGGUGGUGGCUUACCGAGGCGUUGACGGGUAGCCAGCCUGCGAGGGUGACCGGCCACAGUGGGACUGAGAUAGGGCCCAGACUCCUACGGGAGGCAGCAGUGGGGAAUAGUGCACAAUGGGCGGAAUCCUGAUGGAGCAACGCCGCGUGGGGGAGGACGGCUUUCGGGUUGUAACCCGCGUUCGCGUGUGACGAAGCGUGAGUGACGGUAGCGGGUAAAGAAGCACCGGCUAACUACGUG
rnacentral:rRNA from 1 species